ACUGUUGAGAGGGAGCCCAGUCCAUCCACUUUGGCUACCCUGAGUGACGACCAGUGCUGAGAGGCUAGGAAAUUGACGCUUGAGUACAGGAAGAAGAUGACCCACGACCCGGGUAAAUGCUCCACCAUCCUAACCGAAUUUCCACACUUUCUGGAUGUGAAGGGCUUGAUUGAACAGGAUUUUAUGCUGCUGUUUGGAGAGGGAACAUCAGACACGUUUUUGGAGAGGUGGCCAACUACAUUCAAGCAAAAUACCAUCAUGCUAAGCAAGACCCUAAGCAAGGCCACUCAGGGAGCUGAACUUCAGGAGCUGAUCCAGAUAGCAGAAUCUGCAGUUGAUGAGGGAGCUGACACAAAUGCUGAUGGAUGGGACGAUGACCUUUCGUCCAUCCUUCUCCUGCUCCAUUUGAUUCUUCCUUCAUCACAAGGCCGAAAAAGACCAGGCAAGAUGUCUGCAUCCCAAACUGAACAGCAUCUUGUGAUAUUCCAAAAGUAUCCAGGAGCACCUUGAUGUGAUUAACCAGAGCCGCCAACCAUGUCGUCUUGCAGUCGAGACCAGGAAGAGCAGCAUCCACGCUUACUUCUUCCUCCUGGACAAGCGAGCCUUGCCGUGCAAGUCAACGAGCGCUCUUGGUGCCUUCGAUGAGCUUUUCAAGACUCACUUUCACUUCUUACAAUACAAUGCUGCGCAACAUGUACACCUUCAUACAGACAGCGUAUACAACAUAGACAUUGGGAAGGUUAAGGAGACUCCGAGGGUUGCUGAGCUCAGAACUAAACUCCUGUACUAACGCUGAUUAAGUUCUAAUAAUAUGUUUUGUUUGCCAUGCUAGUCAUGGAAGUACCAACUUGUUCGUGAGGCAUCUCAAGUUGAUGCAUGGAUUGUGCCCUGGUAGAACUCGUAGACUAACAUGUGGUCAAGCAGAUUGUUGUCGGGGAUUUGGUACAUUUUCAGGCUUCAGGAAGCAGUUGAGAAGGGCACAUUCCGGAGACUCAAAUUUUGUUAAACACUAACUUGGAUGCUAAUACAGCCAUUGAUAGUGAGCCAAAUAAUGCUAAUUUCCCUUCAAAUUCUAGUUGUAACCAUGUUGUACCAAUAUCUAACAAAAACACACUUGAUAUGUGUACGUCUGCUAUUGCACAACUGCAGGCUGCAGGUGUUGGUCAGAUGACUGUAAAUAGUUUUGUAUCUUCCAUGGAAGAAGCAGUUCAAGAGAUACAGGGUCAAGCUAAAGUGACUGCUCUUACACGUAUAUCUUCAAAAGACACAGAAACUGUCAGAAAAAUCAAACAUUCUUUUCAGGAUAUUGAAAAUCCUUGCACAUUGUUGAAUUCGGUAUCAAAACGAAGUGCUUAUUUCAUACAAAAAUGGGGAACAGUUCAACCAGUUGAGAAAGUCCUUGGUGUUAGAUUUGACAAUAGAAGAAACAACACUACUGGAAGUUAUGAUCAAAUAGUCAUAACUGAUACAUUUUCUGACGUUCCAAUUCUCCAGACAUUGCAGUCAAUUUUGAAGAACCCAAACACAAGUGGCAUGUUUAACUUGGGGCACAAUUUUAAAGAUGGAGUUUACUUUGAUUUGGAAGAUGGACUAUAUAUGAAGAGACAUAUAUAGGUCGUAUACAUGGCAGUAUCGUCCAAGUAACUGGAGAUAAUCUUGGUAUACAUUGCCUGUUUGGUUUUGUGGAAUCUUUUAGUGCUAGUUUUUGUUGACGUUUUUGCCUCACCGAGAAAGUGUAUUUUCAAACUGUUCUCUGAGGAUGACCCAAGAGUGACUUUACGAACAAAACACAUGCACUCAGACCAUUGUGAAACUAUUCAGUCAAACCCAACACUACCUCAUGUGUACGGUGUGAAGCAUGCUUACUUAUUGAACUCUCUGCAGUACUUCAAUACGACAGACACUUUUUCCGUUGAAAUAAUGCAUGACAUUUUAGAAGGAGUUGCACAAUUUGAGGUAAAACUUGUCUUACAGUAAGAUGAUAAAUACUGGCAGCUACUUCUGUUACUACUACUACUCAUUGUAAAUAUUGACUAUCUGUCUGAAGCAGUUAAUUGCUGAACAUCAUAGGUUUUUCAAGUAUCUGUUUCCUGACAGAAAUCUGUUUACCGAAACACCAAUGCAUGAUACAAUAUCCUCAUUGUAUAAGGAAUAUUGGGCCCAUUCUUCACUCGUGUAUGCGCUACAAGGCAAAACAGAAUUUCUUUAAAAAAGCAAUUGUAGAGUUUUAAGAAUGUCACUAUGAACUUAGCCAAGGAACACCAAAAUCACAUGGCAUAUAAUUGGGAAACGUUCAGCCAGGAUAGACUAGCUUCAGAUCAAG